rnacentral:tRNA from 1 species
AGGAUAAUAGUUAAAACUAUAACAUUUAAUUUGCAAUUAAAAAUUAUUUUUAAAAUUUAUCUUA